GAUGAACGCUGGCGGCGUGCUUAACACAUGCAAGUCGAACGGAAAGGCUCCUGCUUGCCGGGGUACUCGAGUGGCGAACGGGUGAGUAACACGUGGGUGAUCUGCCCUGCACUUCGGGAUAAGCCUGGGAAACUGGGUCUAAUACCGGAUAGGACGAUGGUUUGGAUGCCAUUGUGGAAAGUUUUUUCGGUGUGGGAUGAGCUCGCGGCCUAUCAGCUUGUUGGUGGGGUAAUGGCCUACAAAGGCGUCGACGGGUAGCCGGCCUGAGAGGGUGUACGGCACCAUUGGGCAGGGGGAGCGGCCCGGGCGCAACGGGGGGGAAGGGGGGGGGAAUGUUGCCAAACGGGCCGAGGCCGGGAGCAGGGCCGCCGGGGGGGGAAAGGCGGCUUUGGGGUUGGAAACCCUUUUCGCUAGGAACGAGGGGCAAGGACGGGACCGGGGGAAAAAGGCCCCGCUAACCACCUG
rnacentral:rRNA from 1 species